AAACGAAAAAAUAGAUUACAUAUUAAAUUUAAUAAUUUAAUAUGUUAAAUUUAAUUUUAAAAUGUUUUUAAAAAGUGAAUAAUAAAAAAAAAAGUUUUAAGUAAUAAUAAAAAUGAAUUUGAUAAAAUGAGUGAAGAAAAUCCGGUAAUUAUUUUAGACGAUUAUUUAAGUGGACAACCAAAAUCAACAAAAGAAAAAUAUGGCAAUGAACAAAUUCACGAAUCCGUAAUAUUAAUAAGCGAAAAUGAGGAUGAUGAACAUUUACUCGAUUUUUUAGAAAAAAAGAUAUAACAGAGGCUUUUACAUAUCUGAAGCGCUCUGACAUAACUUUUAGAAGCUUGCAAUAUACCUCGAAAGACGAAAUACGAGAAACAUAUAAUAUAUUGGUAUCAGAGCUGAGUUUUUCGAAAAACUACUUCGUUGGCGAAAACAAGAAUUUGGAAUGGACGAUACUGUUACUAUUACGAAUUCUAUUACACAGUGGGUCAAUGAAAGUUCGGGUUGAUCAAACAGUGUACCAGAAAGCUAACAAAAAAAGUGAAUCUGAUGCAUUAAACGGAAGUGUUUAGUCACAGUAUUUUCUGUUAAAAAUAAAUAAUACUUAAAAUUUUUUUUUUUAGAAUUUCUCUAAAAAAAUUUCAUCCACAAGUAGAGAAAAAUAUUUAAUUUUGCAAUAUCAAUGCAAUCAAAAGAUGAACAAUCGUCAAUCAAAAUCAAAAGAUGAAUAAUUGUGGAAGAAUUAGUAGCAAACGACGUUAAUUUGAAAAUUAACGAUUUUCCAAGUUUGGUUGAAAUUAUGUGUGAACUUCCCUGAUAAAAUUAAUUACAAAAUAAGUUGUCUUAUUGAAUAUAAUUUUAUUCCUCGCACUCAUAAGAAAUUGUGGACCUCUUAAAUGUCUUUAGCCAAUGUGAACCGAAGAUAAACAUAAAGAAGCAAUAAUUUACUUUAGUAAUAUUACGUCAGGAAUGAAUCCGUCUCAUACAUUAGCAAAAAAGUCUGGUCUAAAGUCCUCUAAGUUUUUGUUGACUUAUGAAAGGGGCCUAACUUUCCAUAUCCAAUAUGGUAAAUUUAGUACGAUUAAUUUAGAAAAAACAAGUUUUUUUCUGCCAUAAUGAAAGACAUUAAGUUUCUACAAAUUAUGCAGGAAUAUAAUUUAAAUUUGCAAUCAAUGAUGCUGUUGGAAAUACUGAUUUAUAAACGAACCACUUACAAAUUUGAAUAUUAUUUAAUAUAAUAUAAUGAGGAAAAUACUGUUACCGGAACUGUUAAAAUUGGAAAAAUUUUUUGUUGUAAAUGAAAGAAAAUAAAAUUAUAAAGUUCGGAUGAUCACUUUCAAUCAUUUGA